GGUUAAAACUCUUGCUUCCUUCCAUUUCAGGAAAUCAGAGCCAAAAGAGCUUCACAGAGUCACCCAUUAAGACCUGGGGCCAGCUCCAACAGCUCAGAGAAAGUCAAGAGGCUCAUGAGAUCAGAAUAUUCUUUCAUCGAAGGAGGAGAACCCUAGAUACGUUGAGGCCUGUUGUGUCAGCCAGCCCUGGGGCUAGAAAAGAAAUGCAAACACAGAGUUCAAGAACCUAACUGGGAGCCUGGUUUGCCAGGAAGAGCUCAGCACGGACUGUUCCUGGGAGAGUUCACCAUGGCUGUUUCCUGCAUGCUUCUAUGUCUGUGCAGCCUCUUAGAACGGUCCAUGUAAACCGGCUCCUCGGGAGGCUUUCUGCAUCUCCCAGUCAGUGUGCGGUCUGUCCUGCUCCUGCUCCUCUGUACUCGGCAUUCUGACUUUUAGGAAAAUGGUUUGGAUUAAAGCUCUAUGUCUUUCCUCAC
rnacentral:lncRNA from 1 species